AGCCCUCGAUGCCUCCCGUCUGACGGAGGCGCCCGGGAAGCGCCGCCCACCUCGGCCCCGCACCCUCGCCGGCCUGCCGGGUCUCCGCCAGCCCUAGCAGACAGAGAGGGGCGCCGGUCCCUAGUCCCCCAGACCUCCAUUCAAGGUCAAAACUUUGCCCAGCUCAGCCUUGCUCGACCCUGGGCAGGGAAGCGCGGACAUCGGCAGAGGGAGCCCGAGGCUCUCCGUGCCCUUCGCGCCGGUCAAGAACUGUGGAAUCUUUCAGAUGAUAUUCUGAUACUUCUGGACCAAGAUUGAAUUUGUUCUUCAUGAAAAAUGUCUGGGACCUUUUAUGUGGGAGGAGCCAAGAUGGCCGAAUAGGAAAAGCUCCGGUCUACAGCUCCCAGCGUGAGCAACGCAGAAGACGGGUGAUUUCUGCAUUUCCAUCUGAGACAAGGUCUCACCCUGUUGCCCAGGCUGGAGCCCAGUGGCGCGAUCACAGCUCACUACGGCCUUGACUUGUGCUCAGGCGAUCCUCCCACCUCAGCCUCCUGAGUACCCGGGAUUACAGGCGUGUGCCACCACAUGCAGCUAAUGUAAAACAUUUUUAUUCUGUAGAGACAGGAUCUCACUAUGUUGCCCAGGCUAGUCAGACAAGUCUCGAACUCCUGGGCUCAGGCAGUCUUCUGCCUCAGCCUCCCAAAGUGCUGGGAUUACAGGUGUAAGCCAUGGCAUCUGACCCGAAGAUAAAUGUACUUGUCCUGUACUUUGUCAGAAUGUUCCUAAAUAGAAUAGGUAAAAGCCUGAGACCCCUUCUGAUUGAAAAGAUUAAAAAGUUAAGUCACCUUGUUCUGUUGCAUAUAUUAAAAAUUAAUUGUUGUAACAAUGGAAACAAUUGUGUUUCAUUAGGAGGUAUUUCUGUGAGCAUUAAUAGGGAAUGUUUUUCCUUUGCAUCAGAGCUUUUCCAGAAUGCAUUUCUCUUGUAAAUAGCUUGUAAUUUAUUUUUCAAGUUUUCAUACUUAACAGUGAAUAUGCUAUUGGGGUGAGAGAUGUGAUGGUAAACUUAUCAAUGACGGCCCAUUAAAAAGCAAACCAAAUUCUAGAGAAAGCUCAUUUAUUCAUACCUCAAAUAUUUGUCAUGUAACUAUGUGUCAGGCACUGUGCUGGGGAGUAAAGACUGAAUAAUCAAUAAGACACAAUCCUGAAGGGACUUAACACAGAUACUCACCCACUUUAAACUAUAAUAAGUGACAGUAGUAGGACUAGGCAUAGGGUGCUAAGAAACAACAGAAGGUGCAUCCAACUCUAUGUCAAACGGAAGCCAGGGAAUGCUUUCUCGGAGGAAAUAUUGUCUGAGUGCCAACCUGAAGGUCACACAGAGCAAACUAGGAGAAGGUGAAGAAGAGAAGGCUUUGUUACAGAGGCAGGUGCAGGAACAGGAGGUGACAGAGGUGACAGAACAUAGUGGUUCAGAGAUCUGAUUAUAGAGUUGUGGGAGGGCCUGAGGAAAAACUGCAAGAGAUAAGGCUGAAGGGGUAAACCAGGGCUCUAUCUCAGGAAGCUAGAUUUAGAUCAUCUCUCAAGGGUAAAGGGUAGCCACUGAAGGUUUGUGUUUUAGAAAGAUCACUGUUGUAUGUUUUUGAAGGAUAGCUUAGAUAACUGCUGCAGUCAGGCAAAAAAAAAAAAAAGUCCUGAAAUAAAGUAACAGGACAGAGAGAAGGGACAGUUGUGGGGAAAGAAUGAUAAUCUAGUAGAUUUGGGAGACAAGGGAAAGGAAAAAGUGAGCCAGGGAACGUG
rnacentral:lncRNA from 1 species